GGUUAUGGCUCAGUGGUAGAGCACUUGCCUAUCAUGUGUGGGGCACUGGGUUCAAUUCUCAGCACCA
rnacentral:tRNA from 1 species